CCUCCUCGAUCUGCUGCGGGCAGAUGAAGUGGAUAUGCGCGUCGAAACCACCGGCGGUGAGGAUCUUGCCCUCGCCCGCGAUCGCUUCCGUGCCCGGCCCGACGAUUAUGGUGACGCCCGGCUGGGUGUCGGGGUUGCCGGCCUUGCCGAUCGAAUGGAUGCGUCCGUCCUUCAGGCCGAUGUCCGCCUUGUAGAUGCCGGUCGAAUCCACCACCAGCGCAUUGGUGAUGACCGUGUCGACCGCGCCGCCGGCGCGCGAGACCUGGCUCUGGCCCAUGCCGUCGCGGAUG
rnacentral:sRNA from 1 species